UCCGUAGGUGAACCUUGCGGAAGGAUCAUUA
rnacentral:rRNA from 3 species